rnacentral:rRNA from 1 species
GACGAACGCUGGCGGCGUGCCUAAUACAUGCAAGUCGAGCGCAGGAAAUCGACGGAACCCUUCGGGGGGAAGUCGACGGAAUGAGCGGCGGACGGGUGAGUAACACGUAAAGAACCUGCCCUCAGGUCUGGGAUAACCACGAGAAAUCGGGGCUAAUACCGGAUGGGUCAUCGGACCGCAUGGUCCGAGGAUGAAAGGCGCUUCGGCGUCGCCUGGGGAUGGCUUUGCGGUGCAUUAGCUAGUUGGUGGGGUAAUGGCCCACCAAGGCGACGAUGCAUAGCCGACCUGAGAGGGUGAUCGGCCACACCGGGACUGAGACACGGCCCAGACUCCUACGGGAGGCAGCAGUAGGGAAUCUUCCACAAUGGACGAAAGUCUGAUGGAGCAACGCCGCGUGAACGAUGAAGGCCUUCGGGUCGUAAAGUUCUGUUGUAAGGGAAGAACAAGUGCCGCAGGCAAUGGCGGCACCUUGACGGUACCUUGCGAGAAAGCCACGGCUAACUACGUGCCAGCAGCAGCCGCAGUAA